GCUGGGGUAGUUCAGUUGGUUAGAACGCCUGAUUGUGGAUCAGGAGGCCGGUGGUUCGAGUCCACCCCUCAGUA
rnacentral:tRNA from 1 species